rnacentral:tRNA from 1 species
CGCGGAGUGGAGCAGUCUGGAAGCUCGUCAGGUUCAUACCCUGAAGGUCGUAGGUUCAAAUCCUACCUCUGCUA